rnacentral:lncRNA from 1 species
UCCAACUUUCCAAGUUCUUUCCGCUGCCUUAGUUUCUUUGGACCCAUUAAAACGGAGGCUCUGCUCCUCCUCUGUUUCUCUACAGGGUUCUUCUUUCUCUCUGCCUUUUGCUCUCUACCUUCCUUCUCACAUCUCACACUUUCUGCAGCCAUGGCAACCGCUUCUUCGACACCCAAAGAGAAGAAAACCACAACCCUUCCUCCGAGGAGAGGCAAGAUCAAGGGCAAGAUUUUUCGAAUCUUAGUCAAAGCAGUGAUCAAGAUGGCCUCGAAACUGGGAGCUCGGAGGAACAACAGAAAAGAAGGUGGUCGAAACUCUGCCUCUGUAACACCACCACCAAGUGCCUACAACUCUGAUGCCAAUUCUGGCAUCCGUUGCAAAUGAUCGGAUUGCUAGAUGGGCUCUGUAUUCAUCACUGUUUCUCCGGUUCGUGCCUCGAAUCGUUUCCUAUCCCACUUAUCCAUGAAUAUAAGAAAUUCUGCUAGUUUAAAUGCAGAAAUCAAACCUGGUAAUGUUUUACAUUAUGUUCCUGCAUAGCUCAUAUUUUAGGCCAGUUUUGCAGGAUCAAUAUCCGUUUAACCUUAUCUUGUAUUUCAAUUUCUUAGGAGUUGUUUCUGAUGGUAUUUUGGCUCUCUAUCGUUUAUGUAGUUGUUAUAUGAUACAGUGGUUAUAAACAUUAUAUUUUGCUUUUUACA